UCUCCCCCCAACUUAACCAAUAUUAUGCUCAAAUUUCUUCAAAAGAUACGAAGUAAGACUCGAUUAAAAUACAAAAGAAAGCAAAAGCAAAAGCUGAAACUGGGUUGCAUCUCAAAAAGUGCUAAGUUUAUUAUCUUCAGCCAGAUCACAUUUAUUGACAGGUACUUCCACACAGAGCGAUCUAUUAUUCCUAAAAAAAAUGAAGAUC
rnacentral:lncRNA from 1 species